rnacentral:rRNA from 1 species
GGCGGCGUGCCUAAUACAUGCAAGUCGAGCGAACAGAUAAGGAGCUUGCUCCUUUGACGUUAGCGGCGGACGGGUGAGUAACACGUGGGUAACCUACCUAUAAGACUGGGAUAACUUCGGGAAACCGGAGCUAAUACCGGAUAACAUUUGGAACCNCAUGGUUCUAAAGUGAAAGAUGGUUUUGCUAUCACUUAUAGAUGGACCCGCGCCGUAUUAGCUAGUUGGUAAGGUAACGGCUUANCAAGGCGACGAUACGUAGCCGACCUGAGAGGGUGAUCGGCCACACUGGAACUGAGACACGGUUCAUACNCCNNCGGGNGGCAGCAGUAGGGAAUCUUCCGCAAUGGGCGAAAGCCUGACGGAGCAACGCCGCGUGAGUGAUGAAGGGUUUCGGCUCGUAAAACUCUGUUAUUAGGGAAGAACAAACGUGUAAGUAACUGUGCACGU